CCUGAUGGCUCAGAUGGUAAAGAAUCUGUCUGAAAUGCAGGAGACCCAGGUUUGAUUCCUGGGUCAGGA
rnacentral:tRNA from 1 species